GACGAACGCUGGCGGCGUGCCUAAUACAUGCAAGUCGAACGCAUUUUCUUUCACCGUAGCUUGCUACACCGAAGGAAGAUGAGUGGCGAACGGGUGAGUAACACGUGGGUAACCUGCCCAUCAGCGGGGGAUAACACUUGGAAACAGGUGCUAAUACCGCAUAAUUCCAUUUACUGCAUGGUAGAUGGAUGAAAGGCGCUUUUGCGUCACUGAUGGAUGGACCCGCGGUGCAUUAGCUAGUUGGUGGGGUAACGGCCUACCAAGGCUGCGAUGCAUAGCCGACCUGAGAGGGUGAUCGGCCACACUGGGACUGAGACACGGCCCAGACUCCUACGGGAGGCAGCAGUAGGGAAUCUUCGGCAAUGGACGCAAGUCUGACCGAGCAACGCCGCGUGAGUGAAGAAGGUUUUCGGAUCGUAAAACUCUGUUGUUAGAAAAGAACAAGGAUGAGAGUGGAAAGUUCAUCCCUUGACGGUAUCUAACCAGAAAGCCACGGCUAACUACGUG
rnacentral:rRNA from 1 species